CCCACCACGCAUGCGCAGUGGGGAGUGAAAGCCUUUACGCACAAACAACAGCAGCCAGUGAGUCAAAUUACUGCUGAUAACCUCCAUGUUUACAGGUGUGAAAUAUCCCCUGGAAUACUGUUAAAGCGAAUCGAAACUCUAAGUGAACCUGAAAGGACACUGAGAGGGAGGAGGAGAGUCCUGUGAGCUUUGGGUGAAACAGCUGACAGACAGACGUCACGGACUUGCUUCCUGUUGUGAGAGUGGUUUUGAAAUAUUGAUAAAAAUGUCGUUAAAAGGGACACCGUCGACAGGCUGAACCACCCGGGCCCCGUGUGUCUCAAUGCGGACAGGAUGUCGCUGACUUCAGGAGGUUGGGCACCAGGUUUUACGCAGGACCAGACCCAGGACCAGACCCCCUCCCUCCAGGGUCAAAAUGCCGGGGCCCUGCAGCCUCAACCCGGCUGCCACACCGUCCUCGCGUCGGUGCGGGUUUCGGUGUGCCACUCCGGGAUCCGACCGCUGUGUCUCCCCGGAGCAGGAGAUGUGUCUCUCCGCCUGCAGCUCAGCAUGGACCCGGGGAAGUCCGGGGAAUUCCGGCUUUCGCUCCAGCAGGAGAGCUGGGGGGCCGGCCGCAGUGUGACCAUCACUGAGUUUGAUCUGAGGAGCGUGAACUAUGAGGUGAAGUCACCAAAGUGCCACGAGCUGAGCUUGGCAGCGCCUCCACACGAUCGCAUCAGCUUCAACAUCCACUCCGAGCAGGAGGCGCAGGAGUGGGCCACGGUGGUGCUGUCUUCACUGAGGGAGGCGCACAGAGUCGCCCCUCAAGACAACAGUCCACAGCGCCUCCCCGAUGCUCUCCAUCUCGAGAACACAGCGGCCUUGCAACGAACAGAGGACACCUGCAUAGAGCUGACACGAGCCAUAGAGGCAGGCGACAUGCAGUCUGCGUCGCUCUUUGCUGCAACGCUCGCCCGACAACAUGCCACGCUGAAGAUCCAGCCGUCCACCAGAGACGUGGAGGACAAUGAAAUCAACUUGGUCGUUGCUGUGGAGGAUUCUUCUUCGUCCUGUUGCGUCACUGUGAAAGUUUUCCCACAUAUGACGAUAGCUGCACUGAAACAGCAGAUGUUCCUUGAGUACGGCUUCCACCCGCGGGUGCAGCGCUGGGUGAUCGGUCAGUGUCUGUGCAGCGACCAGCGCUCCCUGGCCUCGUACGGGAUUCGUCAGAACGACCUCUCGGCCUUCCUGUACCUCCUGUCCGCCCGGCACUCUCGUCUCACCCUCCAGGCCCUGCAGCAGGACCAGGAGAGCGCCCUUCUCCUCACCCCUCCGUCUCUGCCUCUUCCGGGUCCCCCGCUGCCUGCUACCUCUGCUAACGGCCCCUCGUCUCUCGACCGGAGGCCUUACACCACCCUGCCUGCGAGGCUCCACCCCAGCACCAGCAGCACGGGUGGGUCUGAGAGAGGGAACAUCCGUGAGAUCAGAGACCUAGCCAACAUGGAGAUGCCCCAACUCAACAGAGCACUGAUCCCCAACACAGCCUCCACACAGGGUUGGUCGUGCCCGUCCUGCACCUACAUCAACAAACCCACGCGGCCAGGCUGUGAGAUCUGCAGCACGAACCGCCCGGAGAGCUACGUGGUGCCGGGGGGGUACCGGCCCGAUGCACUGGAGCUCAGACGCAUCCAGCAGGAGAAGGACGCGGUCAGACAGUACCAGCAGGCCCGGGAAGCGGAGCGCCGAGAGAACUUCGCCCGGCUGGUGAUGCUGGACGGACAGGACCUGCUGCCGAACCCCGAGCCGGUGGACUGCAGGAUCUGCUACAUGGACCUGCAGCGCGGGGAGGGCGUCCUGCUGAGGGAGUGCCUGCACUGCUUCUGCAGAGAGUGCCUUCGCUCAGUCAUCAUGCUGAGCGAGGAGCCGGAGGUGGCCUGCCCCUACAGAGACGACACGUACUCCUGUACCUGCUCCCUGCAGGAGAGGGAGAUCAGAGCCUUGGUGCCGGCAGAGGAGUACGAGCGCUGGCUGCAGAGAGGGCUGUCAGUGGCUGAGUCUCGAUGUGAGGGCAGCUAUCACUGUGCCACCCCCGACUGUGCCGGCUGGUGUGUGUACGAGGACACGGUCAACGUUUUCCACUGCCCCGUCUGCACGAAGCACAACUGCCUAAUCUGCAAGUCUAUCCACGAGGGAAUGAACUGUAAGCAAUACCAGGAUGACCUCGCAGCCCGCGCUAUAAAUGACUCUGCAGCCCGGAGGACGACACAGCUACUGCAGGCGAGCUGCCAUUCACUUGUGUUUAUUUUUAUGAAGUGAAAAGGAAAGAGAAAGAGGGAUCUAGCCUAAACUCUGGUGCAGUCAGGCGAGGCCAUGCACUGUCCCCAGUGUGGCAUCAUCGUGCAGAAGAGGGACGGAUGUGAUUGGCUGCGCUGCACCGUCUGUCACUCUGAGAUCUGCUGGGUGACCAGAGGGCCGCGCUGGGGGCCAAGGGGUCCCGGAGACACCAGCGGGGGAUGUCGCUGCAACGUCAACAAUCAGAAAUGUCAUCCUAAGUGUCAAAACUGUCACUGAGAAACCUGAAAGAGGUCAGAUAAUAAAAUGCAUUGAGGUAAAGUAUUCUCUAAAAUAGAGAAAAGAGGAUUAAGGUUAAUACAUAACGAAAUGUAAAUUCAAGCUGGAUCCACUUUCUUACCGCUUAUUUUUUUAAGUAAACCUUUUAAAUUAUAUUUAUGUUAUAUAUUAAGGGUCACAUCUCACUUGACAAAUGAUUGCACUGCAGGCGUGUCAUUCUCUGUUUUGGAAGCAGUUCCAAACCAGGAUGCAUUACAUUAAAGCGACAUUUGGGGUUUAUGAAGUGUGGUUGUGUGUUGGUUCUUCUCCAUAUUCAGUUUAUUACCUGCAGUAGAGAAACAGACUGAUAUUUAUGUGUGGAAAAUGUGGUUUUUUUAAGCAGUUUAUGACUUAGCUUCUGUUGGUACUCCUGUCUGUUAGCCAAACUGCAUCUGCUGUGAGUAAUACACUGAUAAUGGAGAAGUUCCUCAUAAGAACAUAAGAACAUCCAAACUACCCCUUUAAACUAAACUGUGGCCUUAUUCUUCUGCACAAAAGCUGUUGCCGGGUGUUUCUGACUUAUAAAUAAUAAGUUAUAAUAAAUCCGUCUUGAUGUGCAAUUUUCUUCAUAGAGCUAUUUCAAACAAAGUUAAUAGAGUUAUAUAUUGUUACGUUUCUGUGUCUGCAUGUGUGCGUGGUCACCAGAGAGGUGUGUCUGAUUGUUUGUUUGAGCGGAAGCAGGCUGCCUGCACGUGUUCACCUCUCACAGGAGUCUGAACCCGACGAGCGGAGUAGAGCUGAGGUUCUGAGUGUUAUACGCUGACAUUAUUAAUAAAUAGUGGAUAAUAGCCAGGUUUUUUUGCAAUACUUGAAUACUUUCGGAAAAGACUCCUUUUGUUGUGAAGCUUAAUAGAUCAGCUGCAUGUUAGCCAGCACACCUACAGCUUUAUUUAAAAGCUUUGUACCCAUGAUGGUAUUUCAUCUAUGCAUGAGUCAUUCAGAUUGAAUCUUCACCAUGUUUAGAGCAUGUGGGCUCUGCACUCUGCCCCCCGACUACACUACUGCCCCCCCACUGACAAGCCAUGAGAAGUCUUCACUGUUACCUGUUCAACACCAGCUCUGUCACUGGUGUUCAGUUGUGCCUUAAUUAUCAAUAAAUACACCUACAAACUCA